ACAUCGUGAGGUUAGUGCAAUGGCAUAAGCCCGCUUAACUGCGAGAAUGACGGUUCGAGCAGGUGCGAAAGCAGGUCAUAGUGAUCCGGUGGUUCUGAAUGGAAGGGCCAUCGCUCAACGGAUAAAAGGUACUCCGGGGAUAACAGGCUGAUACCGCCCAAGAGUUCAUAUCGACGGCGGUGUUUGGCACCUCGAUGUCGGCUCAUCACAUCCUGGGGCUGAAGUAGGUCCCAAGGGUAUGGCUGUUCGCCAUUUAAAGUGGUACGCGAGCUGGGUUUAGAACGUCGUGAGACAGUUCGGUCCCUAUCUGCCGUGGGCGCUGGAGAAUUGAGGGGGGCUGCUCCUAGUACGAGAGGACCGGAGUGGACGCAUCACUGGUGUUCGGGUUGUCAUGCCAAUGGCACUGCCCGGUAGCUAAAUGCGGAAGAGAUAAGUGCUGAAAGCAUCUAAGCACGAAACUUGCCCCGAGAUGAGUUCUCCCUGAGACUUUAAGUCUCCUGAAGGAACGUUGAAGACGACGACGUUGAUAGGCCGGGUGUGUAAGCGCAGCGAUGCGUUGAGCUAACCGGUACUAAUGAACCGUGAGGCUUAACCUUACAACGCCGAAG
rnacentral:rRNA from 1 species